CUUAGUUUUUAUCAUUUAAAAUUUUUUCAGAUCCCUUAUUCACUGUGCCCACGUUUAAGGACUUCAUGAAGGCGGCCAACUGUGCAGCUAAAGAAGCUGCUGAAAUUCACUUGAGACCAGUUUUCAAAAAUAUGUUCAGUGAGCUGCCGCAUUAUCCGAGCAUGGAAAUUGUAGUGACAAAUCGGAGCUUCCCACACCAAGUUCACAAAACUUUGUUCCAGGGUGGCGAGGAGACAAUCUGAUCGCGCUUCUGAAGUGAAUGGAGUCCACAGACACAAAUAUUUUACAAGCUCGAUGGAACCAACACAUGAUUUGGAUUGUGCGCCGCUGGUGCGAAAAUCGUCCAGGCCGUGGGCACCGUCGCCCCUCAGCACAACCUACGUGGUCACCAGAGAGCUGAAAACCCUCGACCGACCUUUGACUGAACCCCAUCUGGCCCUGAUGACGGCCAGUUACAGAAACAACGGCACACAAACUUUCGCAGCCCACCUGCGUCCAGACAUCGCCAAAGUUUCAGAUUGCGACGAUCCAAAGGGAGCGAUUGAAGCAAAAAUGCGACACAUGAAGGAAAUCAGCGACGAGAGAUUGAGACUGGCGGCCAAAUUGCGGGCCGAACACGCGUCUGCUGCCCAGGCGCAAAGAGAGGCUACCAGGGCCAGGACUAAAGCUCGAUGGGAAGACCGCAAAGAAGCUGAACUGGCCAAACUCAUGACGCGACAUAACAGAGGCAAAACACCAAAUCAAAAAUUAUUUUUACUCUCUUUUAAAUAUUUUUUUUAUACUUUACAGAAGUUAGAAAACUGGCGAGGGAGUUCAAUGACAUGGGUCUUCACGAGCACCAGAGGAAUAAUUCAACUCAGGUGGACCGGAGUGAACACUUGGAGUUGCCGUUAAUUCAAAAUUUACCAGUUGUGGCACCAUCGCUGUAAAUUUGCAUUUCUUGAGAAAUUUCGCGAUAAAGACUUUUCUCAAAAUUGUAUAAGCAGCCUUGUUAUCCCCAUUGUGCGUUGGUUGACGUUUGGAAUAAAUUUUAUAU